GAAAUGCGAUAAGUAAUGUGAAUUGCAGAAUUCAGUGAAUCAUCGAAUCUUUGAACGCACCUUGCGCUCCUUGGUAUUCCUUGGAGCAUGCCUGUUUGAGUAUCAUGAAAUCUUCAAAGUAAGUCUUUUGUUAACUCAAUUGGUUUCUACUUUGGUAUUGGAGGUCUUUGCAGCUCCACACCUGCUCCUCUUUGUUCAUUAGCUGGAUCUCAGUGUUAUGCUUGGUUCCACUCGGCGUGAUAAGUUAUCUAUCGCUGAGGACACUGUAAAAGGUGGCCAAGGUAAAUGCAGAUGAACCGCUUCUAAUAGUCCAUUGACUUGGACAAUACUUUUAUGAUCUGAUCUCAAAUCAGGUAGGACUACCCGCUGAACUUAAGC
rnacentral:misc_RNA from 1 species